AUUAAGGUGACUGAUUAUAGGUGGUAAACUGUAAAUUUACUAAUGAAGUUUAUAUUUCUCUUGAUA
rnacentral:tRNA from 1 species